AACGUACCCUUUUCUACGGAAUAGCCUCGGGAAACUGAGAGUAAUACCGUAUACGCCCUUCGGGGGAAAGAUUUAUCGGAGAAGGAUCGGCCCGCGUAAGAUUAGAUAGUUGGUGGGGUAAUGGCCUACCAAGUCUACGAUCUUUAGCUGGUUUGAGAGGAUGAUCAGCAACACUGGGACUGAGACACGGCCCAGACUCCUACGGGAGGCAGCAGUGGGGAAUCCUAGACAAUGGGGGAAACCCUGAUCUAGCCAUGCCGCGUGAGUGACGAAGGCCUUAGGGUCGUAAAGCUCUUUCGCUGGGGAAGAUAAUGACUGUACCCAGUAAAGAAGCCCCGGCUAACUCCGUGCCAGCAGCCGCGGUAAUACGGAGGGGGUUAGCGUUGUUCGGAAUUACUGGGCGUAAAGCGCGCGUAGGCGGACUGGAAAGUUGGGGGUGAAAUCCCGGGGCUCAACCCCGGAACGGCCUCCAAAACUAUCAGUCUAGAGUUCGAGAGAGGUGAGUGGAAUUCCGAGUGUAGAGGCGAAAUUCGUAGAUAUUCGGAGGAACACCAGUGGCGAAGGCGGCUCACUGGCUCGAUACUGACGCUGAGGUGCGAAAGCGCGGGGAGCAAACAGGAUUAGAUACCCUGGUAG
rnacentral:rRNA from 1 species